AUUGAACGCUGGCGGCAUGCUUUACACAUGCAAGUCGAACGGUAACAGGCCGCAAGGUGCUGACGAGUGGCGAACGGGUGAGUAAUGCAUCGGAACGUGCCCAGUCGUGGGGGAUAACGCAGCGAAAGCUGCGCUAAUACCGCAUACGAUCUAUGGAUGAAAGCGGGGGACCGUAAGGCCUCGCGCGAUUGGAGCGGCCGAUGUCAGAUUAGGUAGUUGGUGGGGUAAAGGCUCACCAAGCCAACGAUCUGUAGCUGGUCUGAGAGGACGACAAGCCACACUGGGACUUAGACACGGCCCAGACUCCUACGGGAGGCAGCAGUGGGGAAUUUUGGACAAUGGGCGCAAGCCUGAUCCAGCAAUGCCGCGUGCAGGAAGAAGGCCUUCGGGUUGUAAACUGCUUUUGUACGGAACGAAACGGCCCUGGUUAAUACCUGGGGCUAAUGACGGUACCGUAAGAAUAAGCACCGGCUAACUACGUGCCAGCAGCCGCCGCCG
rnacentral:rRNA from 1 species